rnacentral:rRNA from 1 species
UACGAAGGGGGCUAGCGUUGCUCGGAAUUACUGGGCGUAAAGCGCACGUAGGCGGACUCUUAAGUCGGUGGUGAAAUCCUGGAGCUCAACUCCAGAACUGCCUUCGAUACUGGGAGUCUUGAGUACGGGAGAGGUGAGUGGAACUGCGAGUGUAGAGGUGAAAUUCGUAGAUAUUCGCAAGAACACCAGUGGCGAAGGCGGCUCACUGGCCCGGUACUGACGCUGAGGUGCGAAAGCGUGGGGAGCAAACAGG